CCUACGGGUGGCAGCAGUGGGGAAUAUUGGGCAAUGGGCGCAAGCCUGACCCAGCAACGCCGCGUGAAGGAAGAAGGCUUUCUGGUUGUAAACUUCUUUUCUCAGGGACGAAGCUCGUGACGGUACCUGAGGAAUGCGCCACUGCUAACUACGUGCCAGCAGCCGCUCUAAUACGGAGGUGGCAGUCGUUCUCCGGAUUUACUGGGUGUACAGGGCGUGUAGGCGGGACGGCAAGUCAGAUGUGAAAACCAGGGGCUCAACCUAUGGCCUGCCUUUGAUACUGUCGGUCUUGAGUACAGGAGAGGCAGACGGAAUGCAUGGUGUAGCGGUGAAAUGCGUAGAUAUCA
rnacentral:rRNA from 1 species